GACGAACGCUGGCGGCGUGCUUAACACAUGCAAGUCGAACGGUGACGAGGAGCUUGCUCCUCCGAUCAGUGGCGAACGGGUGAGUAACACGUGAGCAACCUGCCCCAGACUCUGGGAUAACAGUUGGAAACAGCUGCUAAUACCGGAUACGAGACGGAGAGGCAUCUCUACCGUCUGGAAAGUUUUUCGGUCUGGGAUGGACUCGCGGCCUAUCAGCUAGUUGGUGAGGUAAUGGCUCACCAAGGCGACGACGGGUAGCCGGCCUGAGAGGGCGACCGGCCACACUGGGACUGAGACACGGCCCAGACUCCUACGGGAGGCAGCAGUGGGGAAUAUUGCACAAUGGGGAAAGCCUGAUGCAGCGACGCCGCGUGAGGGAUGACGGCCUUCGGGUUGUAAACCUCUUUCAGCAGGGAAGAAGCGCAAGUGACGGUACCUGCAGAAGAAGCACCGGCUAACUACGUG
rnacentral:rRNA from 1 species